AGGAGAAUUAAGGCAAAGGAAUCUGAAGAACACUGGACAAAUGAGACAUCAGAAGAAAAAGGACAAAUCAUCCUGAAAAAAAAAGUCCCAAGAAAAGGAGAUCCCCUAAAGAUGCCUUCACCCUGGACAGCAGGAAGUAAUUUUAAGAACAUGAAGCCCACAUUGCUAAGAGAAAAAUGAACAAAGUCUCAGAUGGCUCCUGAUCUAAAGCAUCCAACAAAGACAUCUAGAGACUACUGAACAAAUGAAACAUCUAAAGGCAGAUGCUAAAUCCAUCAAAUGGAGACACCCCAAGAGGAAGAGUAAACUGAUGAGUUCAGGAAACAUCAGGAAUCUAACUCAUCAAGCUGAGACUUUGGGGAAACAAAGUCACUAUAUGACUGAUCUA